rnacentral:rRNA from 1 species
UUGACCUCGGAUCAGGUAGGGAUACCCGCUGAACUUAAGCAUAUCAAUAAGCGGAGGAAACUGAGAAUUUAGUAGUCAGUCGCGGGCUUGGUGAGUGAGCCCUGGGUUAUUGGAGGAAAUUAAGGGAGGAAGUAACCGAAGAAGGGGGAUGGGAACCCUGGGUUCUUUGAAUGAAUUAAGGAAUGAAAAAAGCAAAGGGAAGGGCGAUGGGAACGAUGGCCGAUUGUUAUUGAUUUAAUAGAGGAAAAAAAAAAAAGAAAGAAACCGGGGAAGGAAGUAUGUUGUAGGGUUAAAUAACAAAGGAAAAGAGAGACAGAAGACAGAAGCGGCGGA